rnacentral:rRNA from 1 species
GUCAUCCUACGGGGGGCAGCAGUGGGGGAUAUUGCACAAUGGGGGGAACCCUGAUGCAGCGACGCCGCGUGAGUGAAGAAGUAUUUCGGUUUGUAAAGCUCUAUCAGCAGGGAAGAAGAAAGACGGUACCUGAGUAAGAAGCCCCGGCUAACUACGUGCCAGCAGCCGCGGUAAUACGUAGGGGGCAAGCGUUAUCCGGGUUUACUGGGUGUAAAGGGAGCGAAGACGGUAUGGCAAGUCUGAAGUGAAAGCCCCGGGCUCAACCUGGGAAUUGCUUUGGAAACUGUUAAACUA